CCUUUUUUCCUUCCGGCCAAACCCUUUUCUAAAAACGCAUUGCUCGUCCAGAAGUUUCCUCUCCGUUUUCUCUCUAAAGGUGUGCGGUUUUUUUUUCAAGUCUGUGAUUUCUAAGAGAUAGGGUUCUUGGGAAGACAGCACAAAUCGGCGGAAGGGUCUAAUUAUGGAGAAAAUAACUGAAAAUAUCACCAGAAUGACCAUUCUUCAUCAUCUGCUUCCGAUUCUAGGGUUGAGAAGAAAACAAAUUCAUCGCAGCCGUCAUUCAAGUUUAGGAAUAGUUGGCUUUUCGAGAGCAGCUUGUUCAAAAGGUCUUCGGUGGCGGUAAAUGCACCAGCAAUAUCAACAAAGUUUGAUUUCAUAAGACAUAUUCUGAUCAAAAGGAUCCACAGAAAUGCAGUCAAUAUGUUCUUGAGAUAUAUAACAAUUUGCGGGUUGCAGAGGUCUGGUGAAUUGAUAUUCAUGUAUAUUUCCUUCAAACUUUCCUUUAAGAGUAUUGUACUCUUCUUAACUACUCUUCCCUAACAAUCUUUUGGAUUCAUGUGUCAGGAUCUUACAUAAUCUCCCUUUAGUUGUUCCAGCUGGGAGGAUAAACUAAGAAGCCCCUACUGCCUAUCAGCAUGGAGUUUAUAUUAGUGUAAAGGACAAUAUGCUGGUGUAAGGAAAUUUUUGUUCUUCCAAAACCCUAUGGAGAACUGAUUUUCUAUUUAGAAAUGCUCAAUAUUAUAAUCAUCUGGUCUUUCUUCUAUGAUUGUUGCAGAGAAAGGAUGAGAAGUAUUCAUGAUAAUCUGUCCUCACUUUCACCAUGUGCAUUCUCUCUAUAUUUGCAUUGUCACUUUAGGAGGAAGUGUAGAAUGCAUAAAAUAAGAAAAAACAAGACUCUUUAGGAUGAAGAGAGUGUCAGAAAAAAGUGAAUUUUAACAAUGUUAUUAUCUGGUUCUUGCUAUGAGUAUCUGUCUUGAUUAUCAUUAUCAAUAAGUUUGUAGUGAUUCGAAACACUAGAGUAAUGAUAUUAAUAAUAUUUUGCUUUCUUUUUUCGGAAAGUUUGCUCUUUUUAUAAUCCUACAGAGUUUAAUUUCUUAGAGCGACUUUUUUAUUGAAAUCUACGGUCAUCCUGCUUCUAAUUCUGUUUUUUAUGUCUCACUGUCUUGCUUUUUACUUGCAGUGACCCAUUAGUUGGUGCUACAAAUGGUUCUUUCAGAUUAUGUUCUUUACGAGACAAGUGCCGGGAAACACGUCCGUAGAGCUGUAUUUAUUAUCUGGAGCCUACCUUUGUGGAUGAAGUGAGGACUAGGGCUUACAAGCAACUCUGCCAUCCUAAACGAUAUAUUUCUCGCAAUGAGAUGCUGCUAACAAUAUAGCCAUGGGGCAUUAUAUAGCCAUGGUGAAUCUACUUGUGGACUAAGAGGAUCAUCUGGUGGCAGCAGUGUGAAUCACCAAGCAAAUAUAUAGUAUCUUUCUAUACUUAUAAAUUGUAGAACCACUUUAGAAAUUGGUAAUGUUUAAGUUACCACGCUGGUUAGUGAAAUUGAGUUACCAUUGCGUGAGUUAGUAUUAAAUUAGUUUGAUAAGAAUUUAAUUUCGGAUGCUUGUUACUAUGGCUAUUUGUAAUGAAAUUUGAUUUAUGUUAUAGGUUAUUCAAUAAAA